GACGUAGGGCGCAAGCGUUGUCCGGAAUUAUUGGGCGUAAAGAGCGUGUAGGCGGCCAGGUAGGUCUGCUGUGAAAACUCGAGGCUUAACCUCGAGAUGUCGGCGGAAACCAUCUGGCUAGAGUCCGGAAGAGGAGAGCGGAAUUCCUGGUGUAGCGGUGAAAUGCGCAGAUAUCAGGAGGAACACCCGUGGCGAAGGCGGCUCUCUGGGACGGUACUGACGCUGAGACGCGAAAGCGUGGGGAGCGAACAGG
rnacentral:rRNA from 1 species